CUAGCAUCAGCUGAAGUUUAAAGAUCAUCCCUGUAAACCUGCUCUGGCUUUCAGUUUUCAUAGAUGAUGUUUCCUUUUCCCAGGAAGGAGAUACAUGUUGGCAACAUCUAAACUUGUCUUGUUUAAUCUAAUAUCACUCAAUUCAUUUAGAGGCUUAGUCCUAGACUUUCCUCUCUUUGGUUUGUUUUUAUUGUAUUUCUGGAGAAAUGCAGCUCAAAGUGCUCUUGUGAAACUCGGUAAAAUUUUGCUUAGUUUUAAACCUACACCCCAGAUACAGGAUGUACUAGAGAUGGUUCUGGCUCUAACAAGAACACUGUGCCUACCACAAAGAUUUGAUUCCUACCUACAUAGUGCCUUGUGAUGAUUCCUGUAUUUUUGCCUUAAAUGGAAUUUAUGGAGAAGACAUUUUUGAGAUGCAGUCUUAGAGAUUAGUGAAGAUUUAACUAAAACAUUGAUACUACAUGGUCUAAAUGAGGCAGAGAGAGCAUUUUAGAUGUGAUUCCGGGCCACCACAUUGCAUCAUUCUAGGAGCUGCCAUUGACAUUGUCUUCUUUGCAUGCCCCAAGGAGUGUUCAUCCCCAUAAUAGAAAAUGAUAAGGCACUUGCUAAAACGAAUAGAAAAAAAUGAGGACCACCAUCAAUUCCAACAUUGAGAACUCGUAUUUUAGUUGGAAAGAAAUGCACACAGUUUGGAAUCCUAUGUAAUCAAGAUAAGAGAACAACAAUUUUCCAAAUGCUUUCCGUGGGCCAGCGUGGAAACUUAACUCUCUCACACAGACAACGAGAUUACACUCUGACACCAAGCCCUGCCCUUGUGGGAAGUAUGAUAAGCCUCAAGGCAAACAAUUCUUCCUUCGCGAUUGCAGUCUGGGCACCUGAUGAUAUAGAAUGACUCAUUGGACUCCUGCCUCUUCUACUUCAUUCUUACCAUGAGCUCCCCUAGAAGAUGUAGUCUUCCACCGUUACCAAAAUCUGCAACCAGAAAGAUCAAGCUCUAGGAAGCAGUACACACUAUACUCCUGUGUGGAAACAAAGUAAUCCUCAUCAGAUCAUCUAACUUGCUGUUGCUGUAAGGACUGUGAAUUGGUAGCAAUAAAUAAGCCAUGGGAAAUAGGAGGGAAAACACCAUCAAUGACAAUAAAAACUGAAUGUGAAA
rnacentral:lncRNA from 1 species